CAGUCAUGUACACGCUCUUCCUUUACAGAAAUACCCUCACCAGCAUGUACCUCUGUGAGUGAUGCUACUUUAAGGUCUAUAACUCUGUUCAGUACAUCAUCAUCUGUACUGUCAGCAGCAGUUACACUGUUACUCUGACACCUGGACAAAUAUGGAUGCACUGAAGUUGUACUUAAUUCUUCUUCUACCACUAACUGCAAGCUCAGAAGAUUUAGGGGGAGAAACUGUUGUGAAAACAAUUGGGAAACAACCAGAUGUCACUCAAAUAUGCACCAAUGAAACACAGAGAAUCAUCACACUGAUCGUUUGUACGAUCAGAACUCAGAGAAGUGGAGGAGAAAAUUGUAGACUGCUGUAUGAAUAUGGACAGGGCUUUGGGAACAAAUGUGACUCCAGGUUCACGCUGAUGAAGGAAAAUCAGACUGAGUUUCUCCACCUGAUCAAUUUAACAUCAGAGGACAGUGGGAGCUACACCUGUCAGUGUUCAACUCCUGAAAAA